rnacentral:lncRNA from 1 species
CCAUCCAUGCUUGUGUGCUCAAGCAGGUUCUCGACACAUUCUGUUCCAUCUGCAAUUCCAUCAUGGAUUCGUACAUGGAGUGCAGGGACUUGGAAAUUUUAAUGAGGCAAAGCAUUCAAGGAACAAUAUCCUCAAAUGUGGAAAUAGGGAGUACUCCUCUCCAAUAAAUGAGGCAAAGCAUUCAAGGAACAAUAUCCUCAAAUGUGGAAUAGGGAGUACUCCUCUCCUUUCAAAGCAAGUUCUUCAAGACAACCUUAAAAGAAACACAUCGAAUGAUCCAUAUUGAAAUUUUUUAAGCUCCUUAUCGCUUAAAU